UGAGACGAGCGCCUCCAGGUGAGCGGAGGACUGACGGAACGCAGGUUCAGGGGCGAGAGGCUUGGCUUUCAUGAACGUCCUGCAGGAUUUAAACAUAAGCAAUAUUUUCCAGCUAUUCUGAACACUUAUCUGUAAGAUGUGUCAUUAUCUGGAAAGAAACGUGACUUUGAACAGCUGAAGGAGUGGAGGCAUAAGGUUGGAGUUAAUUUCAUGGCAAUCGUGGAAUUGGGACUGCUCAGGAGGACCAUGAGGGAGGGGCAAGGCACAUCAUUGGAAGCAGGCCUAAGGCACAGGCCAGGAGAAAAAGUUAAAAAGCAAGAGCAAGAAAGAAGUGGAAUAAUGGCAGAGAGAGGAAGAAUACAGACAAAAUGAACAAGUACAUUUAUUGCUAACAGAAGCUGCCUGGGCUUCCAGAGGUCUCAGGCGCACCUCUUUCAGCUGGUUCUCAGGGGCAGGAGAGUUGGGUACCAGGAGACUGAGGCUCUACUGCUGGCUGUGCCCCAGCUUCCCGAGUGACCUUGUAGAUGUCAUUUCGCCUUUCUGCCUCCUUCCUAUUGUCAAAGGCAGGCAUACUGCUAAGCUAAAAGUGCUCUGGGCUUUACCGAAGAAAAUAGCUCCAGAAAUUUAAGACAUUGCCUGCCUGUGUACGAAGUGUCUGCACUUGUUUCUGUUUUUUUUCACGGUUGACGGAGGGAGAGCGGGUAAGAGGAGUGUAGAAAGAAAGGUGAGAAGACAUUGUGGCCAAAGUCGCUUAGCUCCGCCUUAGCUCCCGGGACCGGGAUCUGGCAGAGGGGAUAUGCCUGCAGCCCGCGACCAGUGGGGCACCCAGGAACCCGAGCGGACAUCCUCGGGUUCUGCUGUCCCUUCAGCGAGUCCCAUUGCAGCAUCAGGGACGAAAAGCGAGGCACACCCCUCCCCCACUAGAUGGCACUGAAACGCCUCGUUCGCGAUUUUCAAAAUGCAGGAAGGAGGAAAACAG